GACGAACGCUGGCGGCGUGCUUAACACAUGCAAGUCGAACGGAAAGGCCCCCACUUUUUUGGUGGGGGUGCUCGAGUGGCGAACGGGUGAGUAACACGUGGGUGAUCUGCCCUGUACUUCGGGAUAAGCUUGGGAAACUGGGUCUAAUACCGGAUAGGACCAUGGUUUAGUGUCUCAUGGUGGAAAAAUUAUUGUUUUGGUGCAGGAUGAGCUCGCGGCCUAUCAGCUUGUUGGUGGGGUAAUGGCCUACCAAGGCGUCGACGGGUAGCCGGCCUGAGAGGGUGGACGGCCACGUUGGGACUGAGAUACGGCCCAGACUCCUACGGGAGGCAGCAGUGGGGAAUAUUGCACAAUGGGCGCAAGCCUGAUGCAGCGACGCCGCGUGGGGGAUGACGGCCUUCGGGUUGUAAACUCCUUUCGUUAGGGACGAAGCCGCACCUUUUUUGGGUGUGGUGACGGUACCUUUGUUAAGAAGCACCGGCUAACUACGUG
rnacentral:rRNA from 1 species